AUUGAACGCUGGCGGCAGGCCUAACACAUGCAAGUCGAGCGAGCGGCGGACGGGUGCGUACUGUAUGGGGACUGCCCGAUAGCGGGGGAUAACUACUGGAAACGGUAGCUAAUCCCGCAUACUAUCGGAUAACCCAUAUGGGAUUAGCUAGUAGGUGGGGUAAUGGCCCACCUAGGCGACGAUCCCUAGCUGGACUGAGAGGAUGAUCAGCCACACUGGGACUGAGACACGGCCCAGACUCCUACGGAGGCAGCAGUAGGGAAUAUUGCACAAUGGGCGAAAGCCUGAUGCAGCCAUGCCGCGUGUAUGAAGAAGGCCCUAGGGGUGUAAAGUACUUUCAGUCGGGAGGCGUUACCGACAGAAGAAGCACCGGCUAACUACGUGCCAGCAGCCGCGGUAAUUC
rnacentral:rRNA from 1 species